UUGACUCUUCAAAGUUCUGGAAUAAGGGGUGGGUAAGGACGGUGCCAGCCGCCGCGGUAAUACCGGCGCCUCAAGUGGUAGUCGAUUUUAUUGGGCCUAAAACGUCCGUCGCCUGUUUGGUACAUUCGUGGGUAAAUCAACCAGCUCAACUGGUUGAAUUCUGCGAGCACGGCCAGACUUGGGACCGGGAGAGGUGUGGGGUACGCUCAGGGUAGGGGUAAAAUCCUGUCAUCCUGAGCGGACCACCUGUUGCGAAGGCUCCACACUAGAACGGAUCCGACGGUCAGGGACGAAGCCUAGGGGCACGAACCGGAUUAGAUACCCGGGUAGUCCUAGGUGUAAACGCUGUGGACUUGGUGUUGGGAAGGUUCCGAGCCUUCUCAGUGCCGAAGCGAAGGUGAUAAGUCCACUGCCUGGGGAGUACGGUCGCAAGGCUGAAACUUAAAGGGAUUGGCGGGGGAGCACCGCAACCUGAGGAUUGUGCGGUUUAAUUGGAUUCAACGCCGGGAAUC
rnacentral:rRNA from 1 species